AUUGAACGCUGGCGGCAGGCCUAACACAUGCAAGUCGAGCGAGCGGCGGACGGGUGAGUACUGUAUGGGGACUGCCCGAUAGAGGGGGAUAACUACUGGAAACGGUGGCUAAUACCGCAUACUGUCGGAUAACCCAUAGGGGAUAAGCUAGUAGGUAAGGUAAUGGCUGACAUAGACGACCAUCCCUAGCUGGUCUGAGAGGAUGAUAAGCCAAACUGGGACUGCGACACGGCCACGACUCAUACGGAGGCAGAAGUGGGGAAUAUUGCACAAUGGGCGCAAGACUGAUUCAGCCAUGCCGCGUGUAUGAAGAAGGCCCUAGGGGUGUAAAGGACUUUCAGUCGGGAGGCGGUACCGACAGAAGAAGCACCGGCUAACUCCGUGCCAGCAGCCGCGGUAAUAC
rnacentral:rRNA from 1 species